rnacentral:tRNA from 1 species
GCCCAGGUGGUGGAAUUGGUAGACACGCCAUCUUGAGGGGGUGGUGCGCUAUGCGCGUGCGGGUUCAAGUCCCGCCCUGGGCACCA